GCUUACGGCCAUACCACCUUGGGCACGCCCGAUCUUGUCUGAUCUCGGAAGUUAAGCAGGGUCGGGCCUGGUUAGUACUUGGAUGGGUGACCGCCUGGGAAUACCAGGUGCUGUAAGCA
ensembl:rRNA 5S_rRNA 5S ribosomal RNA